rnacentral:rRNA from 1 species
GACGAACGCUGGCGGCGUGCUUAACACAUGCAAGUCGAACGGAAAGGCCCUGCUUUUGUGGGGUGCUCGAGUGGCGAACGGGUGAGUAACACGUGAGUAACCUGCCCUUGACUUUGGGAUAACUUCAGGAAACUGGGGCUAAUACCGGAUAGGAGCUCCUGCUGCAUGGUGGGGGUUGGAAAGUUUCGGCGGUUGGGGAUGGACUCGCGGCUUAUCAGCUUGUUGGUGGGGUAGUGGCUUACCAAGGCUUUGACGGGUAGCCGGCCUGGGAGGGUGACCGGCCACAUGGGGCCUGAGGUACGGCGCAGAGUGCUACGGUGGGCAGCGGGGGGGAGUAUUGCACAAUGGGAGGGAGCGUGAUACAGCGACGCCCGGUGCGGGAUGACGGCCUGCGGGGUGUGAACCGCUUUAGCCUGAGACGAAGCGGGAGUGACGGUAAUGGGUAAAGAAGCACCGGCUAACUACGUG